UAGGGAAUCUUCCACAAUGGGCGAAAGCCUGAUGGAGCAACGCCGCGUGUGUGAUGAAGGGUUUCGGCUCGUAAAACUCUGUUGUUAGAGAAGAACAAGGGUGAGAGUAACUGUUCACCCCUUGACGGUAUCUAACCAGAAAGCCACGGCUAACUACGUGCCAG
rnacentral:rRNA from 1 species